AUCUCUGUGGUGUAGUGGUAGCACACGCCCCAAUAUAGGAUGAAGCACGGGUUCAACUGCCGCCUGAGAUU